AGUGAACGCUGGCGGCGUGCCUAAUACAUGCAAGUCGAACGGAGAUUAAGUAGCUUGCUAUUUAAUCUUAGUGGCGCACGGGUGAGUAAUAUAUAGCUAAUCUGCCCUACACUAGAGGACAACAGUUGGAAACGACUGCUAAUACUCUAUACUCCUUCUUUACAUAAGUUAAGUCGGGAAAGUUUUUCGGUGUAGGAUGAGGCUAUAUCGUAUCAGCUAGUUGGUGAGGUAAUGGCUCACCAAGGCUAUGACGCGUAACUGGUCUGAGAGGAUGAUCAGUCACACUGGAACUGAGACACGGUCCAGACUCCUACGGGAGGCAGCAGUAGGGAAUAUUGCUCAAUGGGGGAAACCCUGAAGCAGCAACGCCGCGUGGAGGAUGACACUUUUCGGAGCGUAAACUCCUUUUCUUGGGAAAGAAUUAUGACGGUACCCAAGGAAUAAACACCGGCUAA
rnacentral:rRNA from 1 species